rnacentral:rRNA from 1 species
UAAUACGUAGGGGGCAAGCGUUGUCCGGAAUCAUUGGGCGUAAAGCGCGUGUAGGCGGUCCGAUAAGUCGGCUGUGAAAGUCAAGGGCUCAACCCUUGAAUGCCGGCCGAUACUGUCGGGCUAGAGUCCGGAAGAGGUGAGUGGAAUUCCUGGUGUAGCGGUGAAAUGCGCAGAUAUCAGGAGGAACACCAAUGGCGAAGGCAGCUCACUGGGACGGUACUGACGCUGAGACGCGAAAGCGUGGGGAGCAAACAGGAUUAGAUACCCUGGUAGUCCACGCCGUAAACGAUGGGCACUAGGUGUGGGAGGUGUCGACUCCUCCCGUGCCGAAGCUAACGCAUUAAGUGCCCCGCCUGGGGAGUACGGCCGCAAGGCUAAAACUCAAAGGAAUUGACGA